UGGAUGCUUUGAGUGGGCGGAAGUGGGAGUGAGGCAACUAGUGUCCGUUGCCACUUAAUGUGCACUCAAUUAAAACUUGCACUCAGUUUACCGUUAGCGCUUACACGUUCAAAAAUCACUUGCCAAACUGUGCAAGCUCAAUUGUUCCUUUAUUUUUGGGACAUGCGCGGUGUAAAUGUCAAAGUUGAACUUUAUCACAUGUAAUAGGACAAACUAGAAAGGGCAGUGAAAACAGCAGAGCGAAAAAUAGAGCGAGAUAGGGAGCUGGAGUGACAGGAGCGGAAUGACAACAGUUGGUGUCUUUUGUUUGUGCAUGUCGUGACAUGUUUGCUUUUAACUCUGACCGAGCGGUAUGCGCCGUUAAGCUUAUCUUCUUACCGUACACUUAGACUAGCUGCUCCAGCUCGCUCUUGCUCUCGCUGCCUUUUUCCAAAAGAGAGCGCACAAGGACGCCGGGACGUUGGCAUUUUGUGGAGCUCUGGGCAGCCGAGUUUCUUGCAGGAAUUACACUUCUCCUCACCAGCUGCGUCCACGCAAGGGGAGAGAAAGGCAAAGAGAGCGCGAAAGGAAGAGGAAGGAGAGUGAGCAUUUCUUUGGCGCUUUCUCGCGCGCUUUUGUUGCGCACAACCAAAGGAAGGGGUGUUCCGCAAAACGUCAGUUGAGAAUCGAGUUUUGGUCUGACGGCUUUUAGAAAUUGUACUGUUUUAACUUUUCAGUUAUUAAAAUUAAAAAGAAAACAGUUAUAUACUAAAUACAUACAAU